GGGCCUGUAGUCUAGCUGGAUAGGGCGCCGGCCUUCGGAGCCGGAUGUCAGGGGUUCAAAUCCCCUCAGGCCCACCA
rnacentral:tRNA from 1 species